rnacentral:rRNA from 1 species
GGCGGCGUGCUAUACAUGCAAGUCGAACGAGCUCUCCCAAAUUGAUUUUAUGCUUGCAUAAAUGAUUUUUGGAUUCGGAGCGAGUGGCGAACUGGUGAGUAACACGUGGGUAACCUGCCCCGAAGCGGGGGAUAACAUUUGGAAACAAGUGCUAAUACCGCAUAAUUAGUUGGAACCGCAUGGUUCCAACUUGAAAGAUGGCUCUGCUAUCACUUUGGGAUGGACCCGCGCCGUAUUAGUUAGUUGGUGAGAUAAAAGCCCACCAAGACGAUGAUACGUAGCCGACCUGAGAGGGUAAUCGGCCACAUUGGGACUGAGACACGGCCCAGACUCCUACGGGAGGCAGCAGUAGGGAAUCUUCCACAAUGGACGAAAGUCUGAUGGAGCAACGCCGCGUGAGUGAUGAAGGUUUUCGGAUCGUAAAACUCUGUUGUUAAAGAAGAACAAGUGUUAGAGUAACUGUUAACACUUUGACGGUAUUUAACCAGAAAGCCACGGCUAACUACGUGCCAGCAGCCGCGGUAAUACGUAGGUGGCAAGCGUUGUCCGGAUUUAUUGGGCGUAAAGCGAGCGCAGGCGGUUUUGUAAGUCUGCUGUGAAAGCCCUCAGCUCAACUGAGGAAGUGCAGUGGAAACUACAAAACUUGAGUACAGAAGAGGAAAGUGGAACUCCAUGUGUAGCGGUGAAAUGCGUAGAUAUAUGGAAGAACACCAGUGGCGAAGGCGGCUUUCUGGUCUGUUACUGACGCUGAGGCUCGAAAGCAUGGGUAGCGAACAGGAUUAGAUACCCUGGUAGUCCAUGCCGUAAACGAUGAAUACUAGGUGUUGGAGGGUUUCCGCCCUUCAGUGCCGCAGCUAACGCAUUAAGUAUUCCGCCUGGGGAGUACGACCGCAAGGUUGAAACUCAAAGGAAUUGACGGGGGCCCGCACAAGUGGUGGAGCAUGUGGUUUAAUUCGAUGCUACGCGAAGAACCUUACCAGCUCUUGACAUCUUCUGCCAACCCAAGAGAUUGGGCGUUCCCUUCGGGGACAGAUUGACAGGUGGUGCAUGGUUGUCGUCAGCUCGUGUCAUGACAUGUUGGGUUAAGUCCUGCAACGAGCGCAACCCUUAUUAU